rnacentral:lncRNA from 1 species
UGCCAAAACACCAUGGCCCUUUCUAAGACCAUAUUCAGUUUAACUUUGAUCUUGGGUUGUGAGGAACAAGUACCUGAGAAGUAUCAAAGAUGAACCUGUAUCCCUGUGCCCUCUCCAAAAGGUAAGGACUUCUGUGGAACUGGAGGUCUUUUUGUAAGAAAAGGGAUCAGAAGAUGUGGAGAAACACUGGCUGCACAUGAUGGUGAUAAAUGACGACAGGCCAGGCAUGGCUGGGAAGGAUGCUCCACAUGCUGCUGUCCUACUCCAACAUCUGGCUGGGCAGAUUUGCCUUCUGAGCCCAGGACAUGGCUUGGUGAACAUCUCCAGACAGCACAUCCUCAUCCUAAGGUUAGGUCAGCAGACACCUGCAACAAAUAUGAUUGCAAGGGUGAAGGUGACAUGAUUUACUUAAAUCAGGCAAUUUCUCCAUUAAGGCAUUGAAGCCUCAAUUCAUAAAGACACUCUUUAGCAGGUGAGCUAUAAUGUUGGCCAGCAUUUGUCAUAUUAGGUGAUUUGAAAGGAAAGAACAAUUAUAAAAAUGAAUGUAAUUCUCUGUUGAAGGAAAAAAAUCCAGUUUCUGCAGCAGGGGGUGGUUAAUUUUUCACUGAUAAAAACAGGUUUCACAGCAAUUCUGCUGCUAUAACAUCCUACAAUUAAAACAUAAGAAAAAAAGGUCCCAGUGCCAAAGCAGACAGUUGUAGGAAUUAGUUGUUUGGAGCUGGUGAACCAGGUUUCCCCUCCAGCAUCAAAGCUUAUUUUAUUCCCCACAGGAUCAGCUCUGUUGCCAUAAACUGUGCUGGUGUGGCCCUAGCCCUCCAUUUCCCCCCUGUUUCUGAGCUGCUUUCAAUUAGCAGGGAUUAUUAAACUGGAAACAUUUUAAACUGCUGCCGAAGCUGCUUUCUGGCCUUAUGAGCUGAGCUAGAGGCGUCACAAUAAAAGCUGAUUGAUUAGCAAGGAAUAUACUUACAGCAACUGAUGCCCAGUGUCAUUUUCUAUGCAUUUCCCAGCCUCUUCCCCCCGCACUGCAUUUGGCAUUUUCAUGGGGAGUUUGACUCUGGCACUUUCUCCAGCCUAGGGCCUCUCAACUUCCUUCUAAAUGCCUGACUUGGACCUGUGCUAUCUUCAUGUCCUGUCUUGCACCUGGACCCCAAGAAGUGACCCACAGACUAGGGUGGCAGAAAUCAAGGAGACUGCUACUGGAUCUUGCAUUAUUAGUCUUUUCCUUUGCUCUUUGAUCAUCAGAUCAUUAGAAUAACAGCAUCAGGAUGUCUCCAAAGGCCGCAGACCACAGAGCAUGGGUGGGUGGAGGCAGGUGUCUGUAUCCUGUGGUAGGGCUUCAGAAACUGAAAGCAUAUACCUUAAAGCACAUCUCAUCCUCAUGACCUUGUUUCUUCUUUAUUUUUCUUAAAAUUUCUUCUGUGAAUCUCUUAUUUCUCCAACUAAGCUAAAUGAUUUAAUAAAAUAUACUAUUUGGUUAGCACUGUGCUAAGUUUUAAAAUUAGAAAUGAAUGAAUCAAUCAAAUUGGCCCUAUCUCUGGGUUGUAUAUCUGUGGAUUCAACUAAUCCAUGGAUCAAAAUGUUUAAAAAAUUGUGUCUGUAUUGAACAUGCUCUGACUUUAUUUUCUUGUCAUUCUUUCCUAAACAACUGCUUAUGUAGCAUUUAUGUAGCAUUUAAGUAUUAUAAGUAAUCUACAGUUGAUUUCUAGUAUAGGAGAUAUGCAUAGCUUAUAUGCAUGUUCUAUGCCAUUUUAUAUAAUAGUCUUGAGCAUACAAGGAUUUUGGUGUUUGUAAGUGGUCCUGGAGCCAAUCCCCGUGGAUAUGAGGAACAACUGUAUUUAAUUCUAGCAAUGAUACCCUGAAUAUCAUUAAUAUUCUUGUUUUUACAGAUGAGUAGGCUGAAGCUUAUAAGUGGUACAUAGUAGCUUUGAAGUUUACUUCUCAGUUGGUAAAAGAUUUCCCUGUUCUGAGCUUCAGUUUCCUUACCUACCAAAAGAGAGAUUUGAAAGAGAUGCUCUUGGUUCCUUUCCUGUUUUUUUUUUUUUUUUCUUUCUCCCAUUGAUUCAUUCAACACAUGCAUGCUGUAUGCUUGCUCUGUGCCUGGCACAUUCCAGGCGCUGGGGCUGGUGAUGAACUAGUUACAUUAGCUGCCUCUUCUCAUGGGGACAGGGCUGACACUUCACCAGUAUUUCUGAUUAGCUUGCAAGAUAAGAGCCAAUCUUCCUGAGAGUUUUCAUCAAGCUCACGGGCUUCAUCUUGGAGUCAUUUGGCAGCAUGAACCUGCUAAGCCUGUGCGGGCCCUGAGUCUGGGGUCCUUUACUGCUGGCAACAGGACAGUGGAGGAAAUGUGCAUCCAGACCAGGGGCCCAGGGUCAUCUGCUGCAUGGGCACAAGCAUUCACUCACACUGCCACUUGCUACCAGGAGCCCAGCUUUUCAGCUUUGCGUGAUUGCUAGAGCUGCAGAGCCUCAGCAAAGGAGCCAUAGCCCGCGUGGAACAGACUGAGCAGAAGAGAUCUGGACUUCUUUGGUUGCACAAGGGGCUGCUUAAGCCCCUCCCUGCCCUCUUUCCAGGAGAAAGGGGGCUGGAGUUAGGUCUGGGGGAGAACAAAGUGUUUCCCAGAGAAGUGGAGUUAGACCCACCAGUUAUUCCUGUAUUAUGACUGAAAGCACACAAACGAGAAGCAUUUAUUACCUCCAAAGUAGUACUGGUUCGGUAGUGCUGAAUGGAGAGGUGAGGGAUUGCAGUUGUUAUCUUUUGAACUAACUGCUAUUGCGUGUCUCAUGACCAGGCGUGGCAGGGUUUUUGUUCCCAUGAAUGAAUGGGCUAUAAAUCUGUCGGAGCUGACACUAGUAGCAGUACUAGAGGGUGUAAAGAGAAAAUGUGCAGAGGAAUCUUGUGGUCUUUGCUUGCCUGGAAAAUGAGUUCAAUAAAAUGGAGGUGAUCAGUGCUUAUUUAUAGGGCAAAUGGAUACAUCCACCACUGGCCGUCAGAGCCUAACUUAGUGUUUUCUCAUUUAGACUCACUCCGUAAUGCACAUCCCCGCACUGGGGGCAGCCAGCAGCUGCAUUGGUGGCAGAAGAAAAGGAGACACUGGCACUGGUGGAUAAAGCAGUGCCUUCCUCUCUGCCUCUGAGGUUUGAGAGCCUUCAGAGAACACUAUCUGGAGGCGUUUAGAUUUGAGAUUUGGAGCAAGCAGGAAAACACGAAGCUUAGGAACUCUUCCUUAUUUACAUUUCAGUUUUGAGGGUGAAUGACAGGAAAUGCGAUAAAAUUAAUCGCCAUUUUUCAGGCCUCUGAAACAAUAAAUUCCAGGAACCAUAAAUUUAGAGCCAGGUUAAGUACUGAAAACAAUUUAUUGCUAAUUUUUCCCUUAAUUGCAUUCCCGAGAAGAAGGUUUCGUGCUUACUGCUGGAAUUAUUAUAUAAAAAUUAUUCGUUAGAAAGCACAAUGAACUGUAAAUCAGAAGCUUACCUGAAACAGGGUCACGGAUCCUCACAAUUCAUCCUCCCCCCACCCAGGCUGUCUGCAGGCGAGGUCUGUCCUCAGCAAAUCAAAGCAUCGGGGCGCGUGUACCUGCUGCCGUCUCGCCCCUCCUCCGCGACACUGCCCGAGAUUAAGUGUUGAUUCAAUACGAUGCUUCACCUUCUACAAGUGAUGGCGUGAGUCACAUGUGGGAAGGAAGCAGAGGGGACAUAAUGGAAUGAUCACUGCACGGCCUCCCUGCCUCAUUUAAUUUGUUUCCAGGCUCCUUGUCGUGACAGGUUAACUGCAGCGGAGGCCAGUUGACAGCCUGACUCUGCUGGUGGAGAAAGUGGAAAGAUAGUGGAAAGAUCGAGUCAGAAACUGGCCACACUAUGGGUGCUGAGAGGCACAUUCCAGGGGGAGCUUCCACUGGCAGGAAGGGUUUGUUGGCCCUGGGUUAAGAGAGAAGACAAGAGGUGCUGGUAGGGACCAUGAGCUAGUGGAGGUGAUUUGUUACCUCCUAGCUCUUUGGUUGGUGAGACAUGACUCCACUGGGGAUGGUGGAAGGUGGUCUUCCAGGACCACCUGUGUGGGUCCUGUUUGGAUCAAUCUCAUUGGCAAUUUUCAGGCUAAGAGAGGGUUCUCCUGACCAAACCAACCAGGCCAGAGCCUGUGCCCAUAUUGGGAGCAACUAGUAGCUGAAAUGACUUUUUUAUUUUUAUUUUUGUAGUUCUGAGGAUUGAACAGAGGGCCUUCACACUGAGCUAUAUUGCCAGUGCUUUUUAUGUUUUAUUUGGUGACAGGGUCUUGCUAAGUCACUAAGUUUCCACUAAGGCUGGGCUCAAACUUUCAAUUCCCCUGCCUCAGCCUUCUAGAGUGCUGGGAUUACAGGCAUGCAUGAAAUGACAAUUUUAUUUAUUUAUUUAUUUAUUUAUUUAUUUAUUUAUCUGUAUAUUCUUUUAUUGGUACAUUUUAGGUAUACA